ACGGAGGAUGCGAGCGUUAUCCGGAUUUAUUGGGUUUAAAGGGAGCGCAGACGGGUCGUUAAGUCAGCUGUGAAAGUUUGGGGCUCAACCUUAAAAUUGCAGUUGAUACUGGCGUCCUUGAGUGCGGUUGAGGUGUGCGGAAUUCGUGGUGUAGCGGUGAAAUGCUUAGAUAUCACGAAGAACUCCGAUUGCGAAGGCAGCGCACUAAUCCGUAACUGACGUUCAUGCUCGAAAGUGUGGGUAUCAAACAG
rnacentral:rRNA from 1 species